GCUACGGGGAGCAGCAGUGAGGAAUAUUGGUCAAUGGACGCAAGUCUGAACCAGCCAUGCCGCGUGCAGGAAGACGGCUCUAUGAGUUGUAAACUGCUUUUGUACGAGGGUAAACGCAGAUACGCGUAUCUGUCUGAAAGUAUCGUACGAAUAAGGAUCGGCUAACUCCGUGCCAGCAGCCGCGGUAAUACGGAGGAUGCAAGCGUUAUCCGGAUUUAUUGGGUUUAAAGGGUGAGUAGGCGGUCGGAGAAGUUAGAGGUGAAAUCCCGAGGCCUAACUUCGGACUUGCCUUUGAUACUGUUCGGCUAGAGAGUAGUUGCAGUAGGCGGAAUGCAUGGUGUAGAGGUGAAAUGCUUAGAGAUCAUACAGAACACCGAUUGCGAAGGCAGCUUACCAAGCUACUUCUGACGUUGAGGCACGAAAGCGUGGGGAGCAAACAGGAUUAGAUACCCUUGUAGUC
rnacentral:rRNA from 1 species